rnacentral:rRNA from 1 species
GGUGAACGCUGGCGGCGUGCCUAAUACAUGCAAGUCGAGCGAACGGACGAGAAGCUUGCUUCUCUGAUGUUAGCGGCGGACGGGUGAGUAACACGUGGAUAACCUACCUAUAAGACUGGGAUAACUUCGGGAAACCGGAGCUAAUACCGGAUAAUAUUUUGAACCGCAUGGUUCAAAAGUGAAAGACGGUCUUGCUGUCACUUAUAGAUGGAUCCGCGCUGCAUUAGCUAGUUGGUAAGGUAACGGCUUACCAAGGCAACGAUGCAUAGCCGACCUGAGAGGGUGAUCGGCCACACUGGAACUGAGACACGGUCCAGACUCCUACGGGAGGCAGCAGUAGGGAAUCUUCCGCAAUGGGCGAAAGCCUGACGGAGCAACGCCGCGUGAGUGAUGAAGGUCUUCGGAUCGUAAAACUCUGUUAUUAGGGAAGAACAUAUGUGUAAGUAACUGUGCACAUCUUGACGGUACCUAAUCAGAAAGCCACGACUAACUACGUGCCAGCAGCCGCGGUAAUACGUAGGUGGCAAGCGUUAUCCGGAAUUAUUGGGCGUAAAGCGCGCGUAGGCGGUUUUUUAAGUCUGAUGUGAAAGCCCACGGCUCAACCGUGGAGGGUCAUUGGAAACUGGAAAACUUGAGUGCAGAAGAGGAAAGUGGAAUUCCAUGUGUAGCGGUGAAAUGCGCAGAGAUAUGGAGGAACACCAGUGGCGAAGGCGACUUUCUGGUCUGUAACUGACGCUGAUGUGCGAAAGCGUGGGGAUCAAACAGGAUUAGAUACCCUGGUAGUCCACGCCGUAAACGAUGAGUGCUAAGUGUUAGGGGGUUUCCGCCCCUUAGUGCUGCAGCUAACGCAUUAAGCACUCCGCCUGGGGAGUACGACCGCAAGGUUGAAACUCAAAGGAAUUGACGGGGACCCGCACAAGCGGUGGAGCAUGUGGUUUAAUUCGAAGCAACGCGAAGAACCUUACCAAAUCUUGACAUCCUUUGACAACUCUAGAGAUAGAGCCUUCCCCUUCGGGGGACAAAGUGACAGGUGGUGCAUGGUUGUCGUCAGCUCGUGUCGUGAGAUGUUGGGUUAAGUCCCGCAACGAGCGCAACCCUUAAGCUUAGUUGCCAUCAUUAAGUUGGGCACUCUAAGUUGACUGCCGGUGACAAACCGGAGGAAGGUGGGGAUGACGUCAAAUCAUCAUGCCCCUUAUGAUUUGGGCUACACACGUGCUACAAUGGACAAUACAAAGGGCAGCGAAACCGCGAGGUCAAGCAAAUCCCAUAAAGUUGUUCUCAGUUCGGAUUGUAGUCUGCAACUCGACUACAUGAAGCUGGAAUCGCUAGUAAUCGUAGAUCAGCAUGCUACGGUGAAUACGUUCCCGGGUCU